rnacentral:rRNA from 1 species
AUACGUAGGUGGCAAGCGUUGUCCGGAUUUAUUGGGCGUAAAGCGAGCGCAGGCGGUCUCUUAAGUCUGAUGUGAAAGCCCCCGGCUCAACCGGGGAGGGACAUUGGAAACUGGGAGACUCGAGUGCAGAAGAGGAGAGUGGAAUUCCAUGUGUAGCGGUGAAAUGCGUAGAUAUAUGGAGGAACACCAGUGGCGAAGGCGGCUCGCUGGUCUGUAACUGACGCUGAGGCUCGAAAGCGUGGGGAGCAAACAGGAUUAGAUGCCCUGGUAGUCCACGCCGUAAACGAUGAGUGCUAAGUGUUGGAGGGUUUCCGCCCUUCAGUGCUGCAGCUAACGCAUUAAGCGCUCCGCCUGGGGAGUACGGCCGCAAGGCUGAAACUCAAAUGAAUUGACGGGG